AGUGAACGCUGGCGGCAGGCCUAACACAUGCAAGUCGAACGGCAGCACAGUAAGAGCUUGCUCCUACGGGUGGCGAGUGGCGGACGGGUGAGGAAUACAUCGGAAUCUACUUUUUCGUGGGGGAUAACGUAGGGAAACUUACGCUAAUACCGCAUACGACCUACGGGUGAAAGCAGGGGAUCUUCGGACCUUGCCCGAUUGAAUGAGCCGAUGUCGGAUUAGCUAGUUGGCGGGGUAAAGGCCCACCAAGGCGACGAUCCGUAGCUGGUCUGAGAGGAUGAUCAGCCACACUGGAACUGAGACACGGUCCAGACUCCUACGGGAGGCAGCAGUGGGGAAUAUUGGACAAUGGGCGCAAGCCUGAUCCAGCCAUACCGCGUGGGUGAAGAAGGCCUUCGGGUUGUAAAGCCCUUUUGUUGGGAAAGAAAAGCAGCAGGUUAAUACCCCGCUGUUCUGACGGUACCCAAAGAAUAAGCACCGGCUAACUUCGUG
rnacentral:rRNA from 1 species